rnacentral:rRNA from 1 species
CCUACGGGAGGCAGCAGUGGGGGAUAUUGCACAAUGGGGGAAACCCUGAUGCAGCGACGCCGCGUGUGGGAAGACGGUCCUCUGGAUUGUAAACCACUGUCUCCAGGGACGAAGAGGACGGUAGUUGGGGAGGAAGCUCCGGCUAACUACGUGCCAGCAGCCGCGGUAAUACGUAGGGAGCGAGCGUUGUCCGGAAUUACUGGGUGUAAAGGGAGCGGAGGCGGGGAUGCAAGUUGGGGGUCAAAACUACCGGCUCAACUGGUAGGCGAACUCGAAACUGCCGCUCUUGAGUGAAGUAGAGGCAAGCGGAAUUCCUGGUGUAGCGGUGAAAUGCGUAGAUAUUAGGAGGAACACCAGUGGCGAAGGCGGCCUGCUGGGCUUUUACUGACGCUGAGGCUCGAAAGUGUGGGGAGCAAACAGGAUUAGAUACCCUAGUAGUC